UUAUAGUUUUAACUUGUGUAUUGUUUACAUCCAUGCUUACUACCUUGCGUUCUUCUUCUUCCCUGCAUUUCUUGG